CUUCAAAUGAUGUGGUGGGCUUCUGUUCUGCCUGUUGAGAGAGAGUCGCCGAGGCCAACGGUACUGGUGGGCUAGAUGGGGCGGAGAGGGGCGGAGUCCGGCUAUCUGCCAGGCUGCUUUGACUUACACAUUGCAGUUAUUUCUUGUUUUGUCCUGUAUAAGUGGGCAAACCCAACCUUGAGGACACGUAGCUUCGCUUUCUCCAUGAGUGAGGCCUGUUUGUCAGGUUUAUCCUUUAAUCCAGAUUCAAGCAGCUGUUCAAAUGUGAAGACUCCAUUCUCCAUCAGCUAAAUAGAGUGGACUUGAAUGUCCUGCACUCUUACUUUCUGAAGCUCCUCUGUGAAUCCAUCCUGAGGGAAGUCCUUGCAGACUCGGGUCAGCUCAUCCUCCAGUAGCAACCUGGCGGCCUGGAAGCCUGUACUGAUUGGACCCAUCAGCUCUUCCAGGAUUGAAGCCAGCUUGGGCAACAGCUCAGUCUGCAAAGAGGGCAGCAGCUCCUCCAUCACCAGGUUAGCAAGCACCUGCAAACACACAGAGAGAGUCAAUAUGGACUGUGGGUAGUCACAGCAGAUUCAGAGAGCUGUAAAUGAGUCACAGACAUCAAACAUCUUCAUGCUAUUGAGUCAUGAAGAAACCGUAAAAGCACAGAAUCAAUCGAUUGUUGUAAUGUCAUAGCAACGAGUCAGUCUCAACACAUAACCACAAAACAGAUAUAAUCACCGAAUGCAUGGCCGAUCAAGACAGAAGAUUGUCUGUUAGUGUCACAGAGCAUUGAACAUGCUUUCGAAUGACAUAAUACAUUGAUUCUGAAUGGUCAAUCGCCGCCAGUCAAAUAUUAUUCUGCAUGUUGUCCCAAAACAACCAUAGCUGUACUGAUUGUAUCUCUAACGCUUUCAUUUGAAAUAUUUGUGUUUAUUUGUGUCAUACAGUAAGUGGCGUUGGGGUCCUGUCCAUCCGCUUGAGUUUGUUUUUCAUAACCGCUAUUUUGGUUUCCUAACACACUAACACCUUUUUUACCAAAUAAGGGUCGAAAAUGGGACCUAACAAUAGUUUAAGGAAGGCAGAGGUGUUCCUUUGAUUGGGUACAGGACAUCCUGUUAGACCCUGCUGUGAUCUCAAGAUCUUACAUCCUCUAAUAAUAGGGAUUUUGGUGUCAGAAGCAACAUAUUAAAUUGUAGUGCAACAUUCACUAUUACUGUUUUCCUCAUAGUCAGGGUUAGAUAUUUGUUAUUUGUUGGCACGAAAGGGCUGUUAAUGUUAUAAACAUAAAUGAUUUUAUUCACAUGUUAAGUCUGACAUCACACAGACCUGCUUGUGGGUCCAAAUGCUAUAUCAGUUGUAUUAAAGUCAGAUAUUAAAUGUGUUCUGAGUUUGUCACACCACAUAAAAAAAAGGAAAUUUAAAUGAAGGAAAAAAACGCAAGUAAAUAAAAUAAGUUAUUAAAAUAGGCAGCAUUCUCUGCCGUCAAGCAGUGGGGACGUGUCCCUGCCCGCUGUCAUUUAAAUGCGAGAGUGAAUCCCCUAAAUGUUCAUUACAUGUCUGUACAGAAUAAGAUCACUCCCGAAAAUGUAAUGAUUGACACAGAGAUAACCGUAGCAACGUUCUGCCGUCGCAUGCUUAUCCAAAAUAGCAAAAUAAUUUGGUCACAGCGGGCUGUCUUGCAGUGUUGCCAGGUCCUCGUCUUUUUUUGUACGUACAUACCGCUUUGGCGCAUAAUCGUUAAGGCUUUUGGCUCAUGAAGUGAUCAAGAUUUUGGUGUUAUUAAAGUGUGAAGGUGCCGGUCCCAAUAUUUUGAUCUUUGAGGUAAAUCAUUUGGAUUUAUUUCGGUUUAUUAUUGGAUUUUUCUUGUUCGCCUGUUUUUUUUCGUGCAAGAUCUGGCAACACUAACUUAGUCAGCAAACGCUCGUGCCUCUAUCAUUUUCUGCACCGCACAUACAGAAGACUUUUUCCCCUUCUAGGCAUUUAUUUUUUCAGAAGAGAGACCUGUCAUGUCCAUAAUGCACGUUUAAACACUUUAUUAAGUACUAGUUGUUCAGUUCGGUUAUGUACACACUUUGCAGAGUUGUCACUACCUGCAUUUUGCGGGAGUUAAUUCGGUUGUAGAAUGCGGUUGUCAGUCCCGUAAAUUACUGAACUGUGUGUGUACAGAACAGGAUUAAGCAUUAAAAGGUGAAGUGACAACCGAAUUAAUAUGCAGUGUGUACGGGACCAUAGUGUUUAGAAUUUUUUUCUAAAUUAACUUUACAGGGACUCUAGGCAAACAACAUACCAAUAAACUCACGGUGUGCUUUAAAACUAUGGAAAAUCACAAUCUUAACCAUUAUCUCCAUACUGACAUCUCAAAUGAUGACAUCUGGGAUGCCCUGAGAAUGUAGUGUAUGCCGUACGUUUAUAAAAGCUUAGACUUAAUGCGUGAUAUGAAUAAAUGGCAGUCAUAAAUGGCCGUAAAGAUCAAUCUAUGUAUCUAUCUAUCUUAUAUAUAUAAAAAAGGUGGGUCUUGUCUCACCAACAUAUAAUGUUUCCAACGCCCAUAUAUAGCAUUGCAAGCAUAAGAUUUUUUAAAAAGUAUUCACUGGUCAGUGAUUUUUAGCCUCAAUCCUAAAUCACUGACCAGUGGCUCAGUCACAAAUUCCACCGGCCUGCAUCACACAGCUUCCAACAGUGGUCUGGAUUAAUGAAAUACUGUACCGUUUGGUCACUUCAUCACAAAAGAGGCAUGACUCAUCUUUUAGUCAAAAGAAGUGAACAAUGCCAUUCUGCCAGUGUACUCUCUGGUUUUGGACUUGCAUGUGAGUAAUAUGGUGACUGAUGGAAAAAUAAUAGACAAAUAGGCCCACCUGAUAGUCAGUGCCCACCAGCAUAUCCCAUGACUCAUAGUGCCCCUUCUCCUGCCUGUAGAAGUGAAUGGCCUUUAGGAAAGCCUGUACCUCACAUGCCCUACUCCUCAGAUAAUCUGCAAAUAGAUUACAAAAGAGAAGAGAGAUUUAAAAAAAACAUAUUUUGAAAUCUUUGUCCGGACUUACAAAACUGUGUAAUACAGGAUCACGUGAAUGGUUCUCAGAAGGUUCUCUUUUGUGGUUGCAGAGCCACCCGUGAACAGAAAAAAUAUAGGAAUGAAUAUAAAUGGUUUCAGAAUAAGCAUGUAAAAUUAAAGAGCACAUAUUAUAGGAUUGUGAAAAUUACCUUUCACGCAGUGUGUCAUGUAGUGGUAAGUGAAUGUAAACAGUAUGCAUAAGCUGCAAAGGUGAAAGUGCACCAUUACUAAAGUUGUUGUUUUUCAAAAGAAAGAGUCGACUCAGAGUCACUGAAUAAAGUCUCCCAAUCCAAUCCUUUUUCUGUAAAGUUGCUACGUCACGGCAAUGCCCGCCUACAUUCUAAGUAGUCUCUACCACGAAUACAUGAACCAUGUGGAUAACGUCAUGUCGAGAGGAUGCUGUGCUCUCUCUCUGCGCUGUGAAAGCGACUUUGGUUAAUUUUCACCUCCAAAGGAGAAGGCUGUAAACUCGGCCUGCUAUUGUCUACAAAUCUGUUGAUUAACUCUUUCCCCGCCAUUGACGAGUUAACUUAUAAAAAACGCUUCCCUGCCAAUGAAAAGUAUUUCCAGCUUUACGCAAUACCGCUAUUAUCCACCUGGCGCUCUUCCACAACUUAUAAAAUCCGGAAGUAUCGGCCUAUGUCAAACAGCUGUAUGUCCAUGUAAGUUUUGAGGAUCGCUCUGAAUCU